GACGAACGCUGGCGGCGUGCUUCACACAUGCAAGUCGAACGAAGUGGCGAACGGGUGAGUAAUACGUGGGUAACCUGCCCUCCUUUUUGGGAUAAGCCUUGGAAACGGGGUCUACUACCGAAUAAAGGGGGAUGGGCUCGCGGCCGAUCAGCUUGUUGGUGGGGUGAUGGCCUACAAAGGCGGUGAAGGGUAGCAGGCCUGAGAGGGUGACCGGCAACAUUGGGACUGAGAUACGGGCCAGACUCCUACGGGAGGCAGCAGGGGGGGAUAUUGCACAAUGGGCGAAAGCCUGAUGCAGCGACGCCGCGUGGGGGAUGAAGGCUUUCGGGUUGUAAACCUCUUUCGCGAUCGAACGGGUAGGUGUAGAAGAAGCGCCGGCUAACUACGUGCCAGCAGCCGCGGUAAUAC
rnacentral:rRNA from 1 species